UAACGCAUACGAAAGAUGUGACUAACUACCGCAUAUACUACUAAGGGAAGGAAAGCGAGGGGAUACGAAAGUACCUUGCGUCUUUUGGAGCGGCCGAUGUCUGAUUAGCUAGGUUGGUGGGGUAAGGGCCUACCAAGGCGACGAUCAGUAGUUGGUCUGAGAGGACGACCAGCCACACUGGGACUGAGACACGGCCCAGACUCCUACGGGAGGCAGCAGUGGGGAAUUUUGGACAAUGGGCGCAAGCCUGAUCCAGCAAUGCCGCGUGAGUGAAGAAGGCCUUCGGGUUGUAAAGCUCUUUCAGUCGAGAAGAAAAGGCUGCAGUGAAUAACUGUAGUUUAUGACGGUAUCGACAGAAGAAGCACCGGCUAACUACGUG
rnacentral:rRNA from 1 species